rnacentral:rRNA from 1 species
AGCAGCCGCGGUAAUUCCAGCUCCAAUAGCGUAUAUUAAAGUUGUUGCAGUUAAAAAGCUCGUAGUUGAAUUUCGAGAUCAAAUUGUUGGUCGUGCCUUGGUACGUACUGGCAUUAUUGGUUUCUCCCUUCUGACGAACCAAGAUGUCAUUAAUUUGGUGUCUUGGGGAAUCAGGACUGUUACUUUGAAAAAAUUAGAGUGUUUAAAGCAGGCUCGCGCUUGAAUACAUUAGCAUGGAAUAAUGAAAUAGGACGUUUGAUUCUAUUUUGUUGGUUUCUAGGAUCGACGUAAUGAUUAAUAGGGAUAGUUGGGGGCAUUAGUAUUCAAUUGUCAGAGGUGAAAUUCUUGGAUCUAUUGAAGACUAACUACUGCGAAAGCAUUUGCCAAGGAUGUUUUCAUUAAUCAAGAACGAAAGUUAGGGGAUCGAAGACGAUCAGAUACCGUCGUAGUCUUAACCAUAAACUAUGCCGACUAGGGAUCGGAUGAUGUUAAUUUUUUAAUGACUCAUUCGGCGCCUUACG